rnacentral:misc_RNA from 1 species
AUCUCCUGGUCGGAUUUUGUUGCUUGUGCCUCGUACCUCAGUGUCGGCAUCAGCAUUGUCCCAAAGAACGGCCAGUUGUCCCAGUUUUCGUGUCUCGGUGCUCAUGUGUCCCUGUCACGGGGCUGGCUUGGAAACAUCGAUAGCGCUCGCUCAUCGACUACUAACGUUGUCGCGGGCGUGGCGUGAUCGAUGUUCGAUCUCUCGUGCGCGGAAUGCCCAUCGGCGCGGUGGUUCACCGAACCCCGCUAAAUAGACCCUCGAUGAAAAGUCGUCCGAUGCAAUCUUGAGCGACCAUCGUGUACGUGAAUGUGUUUGCC